rnacentral:tRNA from 1 species
GGUGGCGUGUCCGAGUGGCCUAAGGAGCACGCCUCGAAAGCGUGUGUGGGGGCAAACUCCACCGCGGGUUCGAAUCCCGCCGCCACCGCCA